AGUCGAGGGGUAUAUGUCUUCGGAUAUAGAGACCGGCGCACGGGUGCGUAACGCGUAUGCAAUCUGCCUUUCACAGAGGGAUAGCCCAGAGAAAUUUGGAUUAAUACCUCAUAGUAUUAUAGAAUGGCAUCAUUUUAUAAUUAAAGUCACAACGGUGAAAGAUGAGCAUGCGUCCCAUUAGCUAGUUGGUAAGGUAACGGCUUACCAAGGCAACGAUGGGUAGGGGUCCUGAGAGGGAGAUCCCCCACACUGGUACUGAGACACGGACCAGACUCCUACGGGAGGCAGCAGUGAGGAAUAUUGGACAAUGGGCGCAAGCCUGAUCCAGCCAUGCCGCGUGCAGGAUGACGGUCCUAUGGAUUGUAAACUGCUUUUGUACGAGAAGAAACACUGAUUCGUGAAUCAGCUUGACGGUAUCGUAAGAAUAAGGAUCGGCUAACUCCGUGCCAGCAGCCGCGGUAAUACGGAGGAUCCAAGCGUUAUCCGGAAUCAUUGGGUUUAAAGGGUCCGUAGGCGGUUUAGUAAGUCAGUGGUGAAAGCCCAUCGCUCAACGGUGGAACGGCCAUUGAUACUGCUGAACUUGAAUUAUUAGGAAGUAACUAGAAUAUGUAGUGUACGCGGUGAAAAUGCUUAGAUAUUACCAUGGAAUACCCCAAUUGCGAAGGCCAGGGUUACUACUAAUGGAUUGACGCUGAUGGACGAAAGCGUGGGGGAGCGAACAGGAUUAGAUACCCUGGUAGUCCACGCCGUAAACGAUGGAUACUAGCUGUUGGAAGCAAUUUCAGUGGCUAAGCGAAAGUGAUAAGUAUCCCACCUGGGGAGUACGUUCGCAAGAAUGAAACUCAAAGGAAUUGACGGGGGCCCGCACAAGCGGUGGAGCAUGUGGUUUAAUUCGAUGAUACGCGAGGAACCUUACCAAGGCUUAAAUGUAGAUUGACCGGUUUGGAAACAGAUCUUUCGCAAGACAAUUUACAAGGUGCUGCAUGGUUGUCGUCAGCUCGUGCCGUGAGGUGUCAGGUUAAGUCCUAUAACGAGCGCAACCCCUGUUGUUAGUUGCCAGCGAGUCAUGUCGGGAACUCUAACAAGACUGCCAGUGCAAACUGUGAGGAAGGUGGGGAUGACGUCAAAUCAUCACGGCCCUUACGCCUUGGGCUACACACGUGCUACAAUGGCCGGUACAGAGAGCAGCCACUGGGCGACCAGGAGCGAAUCUAUAAAACCGGUCACAGUUCGGAUCGGAGUCUGCAACUCGACUCCGUGAAGCUGGAAUCGCUAGUAAUCGGAUAUCAGCCAUGAUCCGGUGAAUACGUUCCCGGGCCUUGUAACAACACCGCCCGUCAAGCCCAUGGAAUGCUGGGGGUGCCUGAAGUCGGUG
rnacentral:rRNA from 1 species